UCCCUGGUAGCUCAGAUGGUAAAGAAUCUGCCUGCAAUGCAGGAGACCCGGGUUCGAUCCCUGGGUUGGGUA
rnacentral:tRNA from 1 species